AUUGAACGCUGGCGGCAGGCCUAACACAUGCAAGUCGAGCGGAUGAGAAGAGCUUGCUCUUCGAAUCAGCGGCGGACGGGUGAGUAAUGCCUAGGAAUCUGCCUAUUAGUGGGGGACAACGUUUCGAAAGGAACGCUAAUACCGCAUACGUCCUACGGGAGAAAGCAGGGGACCUUCGGGCCUUGCGCUAAUAGAUGAGCCUAGGUCGGAUUAGCUAGUUGGUGAGGUAAUGGCUCACCAAGGCUACGAUCCGUAACUGGUCUGAGAGGAUGAUCAGUCACACUGGGACUGAGACACGGUCCAGACUCCUACGGGAGGCAGCAGUGGGGAAUAUUGGACAAUGGGCGAAAGCCUGAUCCAGCCAUGCCGCGUGUGUGAAGAAGGUCUUCGGAUUGUAAAGCACUUUAAGUUGGGAGGAAGGGCAGUAACCGUAAUACGUUAUUGUUUUGACGUUACCGGACAGAAUAAGCACCGGCUAACUCUGUGCC
rnacentral:rRNA from 1 species